AAUGUGAUUACUGAAUCAUAUGGUAAGAGUAUGUUUAGUUUUGUAAGAAACUGCCAAAUUGUUUUCCAAAGUGGCUGUGCCAUUUGCAUUCCCACCAGUAAU
rnacentral:pre_miRNA from 3 species